UACGGCGAGAUCACGUUGGAACACCGGUUUCCGUACGAUCACCGAAGUUAAUCAACGUCGGGUCUGGUCAGUAUCGAGAUGGGUGACCCCUUGGGAAUACCGGGUGCUGUAAG